rnacentral:tRNA from 2 species
GGGCCUCUAACUCAAUUGGUUAGAGUAGCGGUCUUUUAAACCGUUUGUUCCGGGUUCGAGUCCCGGGAGGCCCA